rnacentral:rRNA from 1 species
AUCGCGUUUGUACGAGGAUUAAUCGAUACUGAGGGUAGUAUAAAACGAGUUUCUAGGACCAUAGGUAUAGUGAUUAAAAUGCGUAAUCGCGAGAUAAUAGAUGCGUUACAAAGAGCGUUACAGGAGUUGGGUUAUAACCCUAAGAUUUACACGUGGGAUGAGAGAAAUAAGCCCGUGCAUGCUAUCGUUGUACUAGGAAAGGAUGCCGUAAGGGAGCUUAUUGCCUUAAUUAAACCCCGUAACAAGCUCUUGUUCCUCUAAUUCUAACCCCGCCAGCCCUAGCGGAAUGCGGGAAACCGUGACGGGGUCACCCCGAGUGCCCCCGUAAGGGGGCUUUUCCCCGCUGCAAGGAGGCGGGGGAAUAAGCGGGGGGCAAGUCUGGUGUCAGCCGCCGCGGUAAUACCAGCCCCGCGAGUGGUCGGGACUCUUGCUGGGCCUAAAGCGCCCGUAGCCGGCCCGGUAAGUCCCUCCUUAAAGCCCCGGGCUCAACCCGGGGAGCGGGGGGAUACUGCCGGGCUAGGGGGCGGGAGAGGCCGGGGGUACCCCAGGGGUAGGGGCGAAAUCCGAUAAUCCCUGGGGGACCACCAGUGGCGAAGGCGCCCGGCUGGAACGCGCCCGACGGUGAGGGGCGAAAGCCGGGGGAGCGAACCGGAUUAGAUACCCGGGUAGUCCCGGCUGUAAACGAUGCGGGCUAGGUGUCGGGCGGGCGUUAGAGCCCGCCCGGUGCCGCAGGGAAGCCGUUAAGCCCGCCGCCUGGGGAGUACGGCCGCAAGGCUGAAACUUUAAGGAAUUGGCGGGGGGGCACACAAGGGGUGGAGCCUGCGGCUCAAUUGGAGUCAACGCCGGGAACCUCACCGGGGGCGACAGCAGGAUGACGGCCAGGCUAAUGACCUUGCCUGACGCGCUGAGGGGAGGUGCAUGGCCGUCGUCAGCUCGUGCUGUGAAGUGUCCUGUUAAGUCAGGCAACGAGCGAGACCCCCGCCCCUAGUUGCGACCCUGCGGGCGA